AAAAAUAAAAAAAAAUAAAAAAAAUAUUAAAUGUUACUAUUACCAUCGCGCGCCCGUUUAUCGAUAUAUUUCCUUAAUUUAAACAAGUUUCAAUAAAAAUAAUCAAAUAUUGUUCCUAGAAGCAUAGAUAAAUCUUCAACAUUGUCGCAACACUUUUACCAAUAUUUUUAUUAACUUUGAAACUACUAUAUGGCGCCAUCUUUGGUACAACACUGGAACUAAGAUUUAAUAAAAGCGAGGAUAAGAAGAUAAGACUGACCUCUAUCGUAUCUAACUCGAACUAAGUUGUGUUAUAAUAAAUGUAUCUUUUCACAGAUAGUAUAUUAAUAAAGUACCAUUGUUAUAAACUAAAACGUAGACUCGUUAUCUAUUUUUAGAAUAUAGAAAUUUAAAAAAAUUAAUAUAGAUCCUCUUAUUUGCUCGGUCGAUAAUAUCGUGCUGUGGUUUUACUAUUAACUUGUAUUUUUCUAACAAUUUUCCGUUUCAUCAAAUGACGCCAUUUCGUUGUUUUUUUUUUUUUUAGCAAAAAUUUGCAAUUUCAAUAAAAAAUAGGCGUACUAAAAUAUAAAUGUAUAUCUUAAAAAUGUGUAUCGAAAUUAUUGUUUGUAGAUAGUACAAAAAUACCGAAAAAAUAGAAAGAGAAUACAUUAUAUUAUAAAAAGUUUGUAUAAAUUGCAUGCACUGUUGCUACGUUUAUUUACAUACACACGUCAGCACGUACACACACAUAUAAUAGUCUUUUAAACGGUGUAUUUAAUAGAAAAAUUGCAAAAAAUGAAAAAAAUGAAAAAAAUGUAAAAACAUGAAAAAUUUAGAAGAGAUGUGAGAACAUUUUCGUUCAAAUAUUGAGAAUUAUAUUAUGAUCGAAUAAGAAAUAAAAGAUUAAGAUUAGAAAGAGCACCACCGGUUAAGAGACGUCCAUACGAGGUCAAGGCAAGCAUUCCAUAUCUACCUAGAGUGUCGGAUAGCUAGUUCCAAAGUAGUGGCUGUCGAUUGCCACGAAAGGUCACACAGGAGAGAAAACGCCUCGCGAGUGCUGGACGCGGAGCUGUGCUUACUUUGGCCGAAGUAUUUGUUGGGCGUGAUGUUCGUCGGCAGGGUUAAUGGUUU